ACUUUUAAAGCUUUUAUUAAGACUUAUUGUGUCGAUAAAUGCCGGUAACCAAAUUAAAUAUUACGUGCAUUAUGAAGAACUAUUUCAUGUUUUACAUAAAACUCAUUUAACAAUUUGGCAUGGUAAUCGUAGUAGGAUGAAACACACGCUAAAUAGUAAAUAUACAAAUAUAACAAGGGAAACAAUUGUGUUGUAUUUGAACUUACGACAAAUAAAGGGCAGUACAGUUAAAAAAAAGUCUUAGUGGUUAAACCUAUUAUGUCAAAAGAGAUGAAUUCACGUUUUCCGGUAGACUUAAUUGAUAUGCAAGCAUUGCUUGAUGGUAAUUAUAAAUUGAUUUUAGUCUACCAAGACCAUUUUAAAAAAAUUGUAAACUUACGUCCUUUAACUCACUGAUGUACUGAGAACGUUCCCUAUGUGUAACUGGAUAUCUUAACAACUUUUGGUGCUCUAGCAAUAUUAUAAAAUAACAAUGACAGAGAAUUCACACACAAGAUGUAGAAUGACUUGAAAAUAGUACAUGGAAAACCACGCCAAUCUCAAAGUCAAGGCUCUGUAGAAUGUGUUAGCCAGGACAUCAAGAA